UUUCGAUUAACCAGAAGGAGGCGGCAUCGGUCGAUUAAUUAGGGUUUCAAAACCCUCACGUUGAUUAUUUUUGGGUGAAGUUUUUACUGAGGCAAUGGCUUCUUCAUCAGGACUGGAAUUCCAAUUGCACUCUUUUGGUUUGUGCAUUUCGGAAUAGGCCAAAGUUCCGGCAAGUUGAAGCAGAUGGUGGAACAAUUGUUUCAAAGGUUUUCACCUUUAUCUUGGUUUUAGAAAUCUGAUUUGCAGCCUUCAGAUCAUCAAAACAAGUAAGAUGUGGGUGUUUCAUCUACGCAACGAUGUGAAACAGAGGAUCAGGUUAUCGAUCGAUUAGGGUUUGAGGGUUUGAUGGAUUUUGUCAAGGUUUUGGAGGGAAAGAUUAAUUUGGUGGAUCAGAGAAUUAAUCAGAUGCGAUUAAAUUGUAAUAAUAAUAACAAUUCUCUUGGUUUUAGUCAUAAGAUUAUGUUGGAUUGUUUUAAGGGUCCUGAUCCUGAUAUGGGUUUUGUUGGUUGGAAGGAGUAAUCAGGUGUGGUUGGAUUCACCAUAUGAUUGUCAUUAUCAAUCUAACGGUAUGAUUAACGAUAUUACGGGUUUAAAUGGUGUUGAGGCUCAAAUUUUUGCGAGAAAGAUGGAUUUGAUUGAUGAAAGGAAUAAUCAGAUGGAUUUGAUUGAUGGUUUUCUCAAGGUAAAGUUUCAAUAUUUUUAUUGAUUAUUGUUGUCUUUAUUUUAAGGUUGUUUUUGUUACCAAAGAUUUGGACUUUAGGAUAUGUAGCUAAGACAUUGAUACAUGUUUAAAUCUACAGUUUGGUCCAAAUUACCAGAGGCCGUAGCAUAUUUUUAAAUGAUAAACAGUAAAGUCUAAUACACUGCGGGUACAAAUGAUUAAAUCUACAGUUUAAUUGCUAUUUUGGAUCAUUGUUUAUGUGGUAUUUCUUAUUGUAGAUUUAAACAAUAACUACAGUUUGGGGAAAAUUAAAUCAUUGUGAAUGCGCAUAUAACAAUUAAAAAUACAUCUCACGUCUUUUCCAAAUUAGACCUAUGAUUUGUAAUCAGUAUCUUUGUGAAUGCAUAAAAACAUGUUUAACUUAAAUUUUAGGUCUGAUAACAGAUUUAUCGAUGGUAAUAAACCUUUUGGGUUCCAUGCGGUUGUGUUGAGUUGUUGCUUAGGUAUGAGAUGGAAAUUAUAGAAAGAGAGCAGUAGUGAUUGGGAGGAGCAAUAUUGUGGGACUACCUGCAUCCUUACUUUUGAUUGCUAAUUUUUAUAUACUUCGUGUAAUUUACUAAUGUUUGAUUGAGUA